GAUGAAGAACGCAGUGAAAUGCGAUAAGUAAUGUGAAUUGCAGAAUUCAGUGAAUCAUCGAAUCUUUGAACGCACAUUGCGCCCCCUGGUAUUCCGGGGGGCAUGCCUGUUCGAGCGUCAUUUCAACCCUCAAGCUCUGCUUGGUGUUGGGCCCCGCCGCCCCGGCGGGCCCUAAAGUCAGUGGCGGUGCCGUCCGGCUCCGAGCGUAGUAAUUCUUCUCGCUCUGGAGGUCCGGUCGUGUGCUCGCCAGCAACCCCCAAUUUUUUUCAGGUUGACCUCGGAUCAGGUAGGGAUACCCGCUGAACUUAAGCAUAUCAAUAAGCGGAGGA
rnacentral:misc_RNA from 1 species